UUUGGUGGCUCGACGCAGGGGUCACACCCGUUCUCAUUCCGAACACGGAAGUUAAGCUCUGUAGUACCGAUGAUACUCGCAAGGGGAAAGUAGGUAGCCGCCAGAA
rnacentral:rRNA from 2 species